UUUCUGACAAAACGAUGCAGGUCCUAGCAAUGAUAUUCUAAGCAUGUUUUAGGGUGUGUUGUACAUGUCAAUCAUUCUUUGAAACCAACUAUAUAGACAACAAGUUUGAGAUUUUGUACAAUCUGUACAAACAAGUAUGUAUAUACAUUAUUUCUUUAUUUCUUGACCUUCCAUAUCUGAUACUGUAUGAACUAGACUGUAAACCCCACUCUGCAAUAUCAGAAAUUUAUUAAAUAAUUAUUACAGUCAAACCAGAUGUUCUCUUGCAAGCAACAUUGCAAUAUUAAUAAUCAUUAAGUCGCAUUGCACCCUCAUAUGCCCUGGAAUUGGCAAGUUCACUCAGUCUAGUUUAAAACUAAGUUUUUAGAAGAGAUUAUCAUGCAUUUUUAGGGCAUGAUUUCCACUGUUUACGUGACCCUACUGUUGGUCUCUUGUCCAAGAAUCAAGUUGUUUAAUUUAGCUUGAGAAGUGCGUAGUUUCAACUUGCCAUGUGCGUAUAUGUAGGCUACAUUUUUGGCAAGAAAAUUUCGAAUAAAGCCACAUUAAAACGCGUAUGAACAUUUUUGGCAAAAAUUUAAAAUCAGCAUAUUGAAUUAUGCCGUUACUUGGCGAGUGCGAAUUCUGAAACUACAUCAGUACAUGACAGCGAUUGAAAAGCUUCCAAAAUAUUGUUUAUUGUUUCAUAUAUAUCCUCAUAAAUUAAUAAAGCCGACAUCAUAAAGUUAAUACAAGCUCGUUUACUCAGAAAUACUCAUCGAUAACCUGAAGGAAACAUUCUAAAAUAGGUCACGACAUUGUUAAUUACAAAAUGCCCUUCUCAAUGCCAUGGAAUGCGGGAAGCCAUGAAAUUUAUAAUGUACUUUGCAAAAUUGCAAUUUAAUUAGUAGUUCUUUUGGACGCACUGCUCACUUACUGUAAUUAUCAUGGAAUUACUUUACUAGAGCUGUUUUAAUAAUAUAUGUAGCAUACUGAUUUUGUGAAAUAAAAUCUAUGUUGUG